UAAAAAAAAUGAGAGAGGGACGCAUAUAGAGGAACGGCGCAGAAGGACUCCUUUGGAGCUUGAUCUUCUUCCUCAUCAAAAUGAAAAACUCAACCGCUUCUUUUGCUUUUCUCUUGAGCACACAAAUCUCUCUUCAUAUUACACUGCAUUUCUCUCAAAAAAUACAGUAACGAAAAGUUGUUGAGAAUUGACAGUAGCUUAAAAAUUCAAUUGGAGAGCUGAACCUUCAAAGAACUUUUUCAUCACUCGAAAAGCUCGAAAUUGGAGUGUUUAGCUGGGUUUUGGGUUUGGGUAUAACUCGAAAAGGGGAGUUGUUUGGUUGAUGUUGCUCCCACGUUGCUAGCUGAGCUCCAAUUUUUUGUUUCAAUCGUUAUUUGGCUUCUUUGUCUUCUAAAUCUCGUCCUUGCGUAAUUAGAUUCCUUAUCUAACUAGGUUUUGCUGUUUGAGCUAUCUUCAUAUCCUGGCCCUUUAAUGUUAAGAUUCGGCUUCAUAUGAAUUGAAACGUUAUUAGGAAGUUAUAUUUAAAAUCUUCAUUUUUGGUAAAUACGAUUCCGAGUCGAUCUUAAGGAUGAGACAGAGUUCGAUACUUCACAAUUUUUGGAGAAAUGGGAUUUUCAGCAUUGUUAAUUUGCUUUCCUUCAACUGAUUUAUAUAUGUAACCAAAUUGUGAAGAUCUUUCGAUUUUCUUAGAUUGCCAAGUGAAAGACAAAUUAUCUGAAUGUUUAAGGAGUUACAUGCCACUGUAUGUUUCCAUGGUUUCUUAGAUAAGUUUUUCUCCUCGAGAGCAUAAUUAGCACUAUUAGCUGUACUAUCUAGCAUGCCAUUCAUACUCUAAAAUCGUUAUUUUGGUUGUUCUAAGAGGUAUUUUCGUUGUGCUUGACCAAAGAAGUAUCCCAUGCGCAAGUGAUUAAAAUUGGAAAUAUAUCCAAUGCCUUUUUGAUUUUCUCGCUUAUUGACAUGUACUGCAAAUUUGGAUGCAUAAGCCAAGGAAAGGCUUUUCAAAAGAUAUGGCAAGGUUGAUAGUGUGGAUAUGAAAUCUAGUUUUGCUUUUGUUUAUAUGGACGAUGAUUUCUUGUUA